CCCCGCCCCGGAAGUGGGCGGGGACGUCCUCUGCCCGCCCGGCCCUCGCCCUCACUGGCUGGGCGGCCGCGGCUCUGAGACGCCAGCUGGCGGCGGAGGGGAGGGGCAGGCGGUGCCCUGGAGGGAGGCACCGGGCCGUGCGGGCCAGGCCGACCCGGGGUCACGAAUUGGACUUCCAGAAAAAAAUGCUCUCAAAACAGACAACUUCCCUGGGGACAGGAUGGGAAUCAAUGAAUAUACAACUGGAUGGGACAGAGCCUCAGGUGGAAAGGGGAAGCCAAGAGGAAGGGCCAUGGAGAGCAGCACCAGGGCCGGGACCACUGGAACACCUAUGCUGUGGCCUUGAAGAGGAGCCACAGUCUCUUCAGAAGGCUCAGUCUGCUCCCUGGGUUCCUGCAAUUCCCCAGGAGGGGAGCACCGGAGACUGGGAGAUGGCAGCUGCACUUCUUGCAGCCGGAUCACAGGGCUUGGUAACUAUCAAGGAUGUAUCACUAUCCUUCUCUCAGGAAGAGUGGCGGAGUCUGGACCCCUCUCAGACCGAUUUUUAUGGAGAAUAUGUCAUGCAAGAAAACUGUGGAAUUGUGGUCUCUCUGAGAUUUCCAAUUCCCAAACUGGAUAUGCUUCCUCAACCAGAAGGAGGAGAAGAACAAUGGGUUCCCAAUCCCCAGGACUUAGAGGAGAGAGACAUUCUGAGGAUCACAUAUACGGGAGAUGGAAGUGAACAAGAGGGGGACACCCCUGACCUAGAAGCAGAACCUCCCAGAAUCCUAUCAAGUGUGUCUGAAGAUACUGUUCUCUGGAACCCGGAGCAGGAUGAAAACUGGGAUUCCACACCCAGGAGCUCCAGAGGAAUGCCCCUGGGCCCACCUUUCCUUCAGGAAGACAGCUUCUCAAACCUUCUGUCUAGUACAGAGAUGGAUUCUCUGUUAAGACCCCAUACAUGCCCCCAGUGUGGGAAACAGUUUGUGUGGGGCUCCCACCUUGCCAGGCAUCAGCAAACACAUACUGGAGAGAGGCCGUACAGCUGCCUCAAAUGUGAGAAAAGUUUUGGGCGAAGACAUCACCUAAUCAGGCACCAGAAAACCCACCUACAUGACAAACCCAGUAGGUGCUCUGAGUGUGGCAAGAAUUUCCGAUGCAACUCCCAUUUGGCCAGCCACCAGAGAGUACACACAGAAGGCAAAUCCUGCAAGGUCCAAGGGAUGGAAGAGAAUGCUGGAGCUAGGAAGCAGCAGCAUGCGUUGCCAGUGCCAAAGUGCCAUGUGUGCACUGAAUGUGGGAAAAGCUUUGGCCGAAGGCACCACCUGGUGAGACACUGGCUGACUCACACUGGGGAGAAGCCCUUCCAGUGCCCUCGCUGUGAGAAGAGCUUUGGCCGCAAACAUCAUCUGGACAGGCAUCUGCUGACCCACCAGGGACAAAAUCUCCGAAGCAGCUGGGACAGAGGGACAUCUGUCUUUUGAAUAUGUUUCUGCUACAACUAUGAUCAAGUUUAUCAACUGGUGCUACCAGUAGUCACUGCCAGAGUUGCCCCUCUCCUUGCACCCCAGUGGCCAGAAUAGUGAACCCUGGUCCUGUCCCUAGAGAGAUGAGGUUCCGGUGUUGGCAAGAGCAUUACUCAGCAGUUGUGUGAGAUAACAUAUAAACAAUGUUUUUUGGGCACAGUUUUGAGAAACAGUGUAUGUUACAUGGGCUGAUAUUCAGCCUGAGCCAUUUGCAAGGAUAUGAUGCUAUUAGUAGUUAUAGCUGAGGUUCUAAUUGGUUGGGAGUCUAUGCCACAUGCAUUUUUAAAUCUUUUAGUAUCAUUCUCUCUAAUUAUAUUCUUUCUGUGUAUGUGUAUAGAGAGAAAGACCAUUUUAACAUUUUAAAGCCUCUGAAAACUUCUGCUGCAAUGUUUUCUAAUUUUAUUUGACCUCAGCAUCCUAUUUUACAUCCCACAGAGCUGGUGGUUCCUUGAAACACACUCUGAUGAACACUGAGUUACAAAGUAAUGAAGAAACAGUAAAGAGACAGUGAGCAAGCACUCGGUGUCCCCCAUUAUAUUCCUAUGAAAACCAGGGGUCAGAUGUCAUCAUUUGUGUGUGAGUCUAGCAUCUUAUCAUCUAUAUAUACGGCUACACUCUCACCUCUACCUGCUGAAAAUAUAAAGAAUGACCUUUCAUUACCCAUUACCACCCCACCAUUCUGCACAUACUUAUAUCCAGCUAAAAGAUUAUGCUACAAUGCUAAAAUGAACCUAUACCCUCAAAUAAUCCAGCCCUACACAGAAGAAAACACUAUCCUUUUGGUCAGAGCCCAUCCUCUUGGUUGUGCUAUGUGUAUUUGUGUAUAUGUGUGCAGGAUCCUUGAAGAAAGCAUGCUAAGUGCAAAUUGUACAUGCUAGAUUUUCUAGGGGCUAUGUUCUGGUAGUGGGGCUGUAUGGGAUUUUUGUUUGUUUCAUCAUGGGAAGAAAUCUAAGUGAUGAAGGAACCCUGAGUGGAAAGGGUUCAGUGACAUGUUAAAUUGUGUAUAAAGUUCUUCCCAGUAUCAGUGAGAUCAAGACAUUUGAGAUUUAUAUAUCUAUAUUGGAACCUCUGGUUGCAGAUUGUUUUCACCUGGGAAGACAGAGAGAGAUCUUCAUUGCAGUGACUGUUUCUUGUUGAUUUCAGGCAAGGUGCAUAUAUAUAUAUAUAUAUAAGGUUUGUGAGUAGGAGUUGUUGUGUCGUGUUGUCCUAAGUGCUGGAAAAUUAGCAAGGAAAUUAUAGUGUUUGCGAGUUGUUGUUCUUGUCACACUUAUUUGAUCAACUCAUCAAGGGAGAACUUAUUCUCAAAGAUCUCAUUCUCCCAGAUCUGAACUUUGGGGAUAAAGCCUGCUUAGAUCCUCAGCAAGUUGGUUUUCCUCUAAAUCCUGGGAAAGUGUCCAUGCUAAAAAACUUUUCGGUAUCUACAGAAAGACUCAUAUAAGAAUUCUAAUAUAUGUUUAUGAAUUGGUCAUUGUUUCUCUGUAUUAAUGAUGGUGGUAAUGCCAACAUUAUAAUUUCAAAAUUAUCUUGAAUGGAUAAGCAGUUUGGAGUUUGAGAAGAAGUGAAGCACAGGGGAGAAAAGUGGGAUAUUUUCACUUUAAUGCUUAGAUCCUGUUUUUCUAAAACUUUCUAUCCUAUUUUCUAAAGUAUUUAUUUCUCAAUCCUAGUUGGUAGAAUUAACCAAAGAGGCAAGAGGAAGUGAGCUGCAACAACCUAGUUUAGUGAUUGUUCCAUCUACUCUGAAAAAACUGGGUGAGUCACAGCUCCUUAGGGUCCUGGGCUCAAAGGAAAUUGAAGAUAGGGCUUAAGACUAUGUGACUUGAGUAGGCCUAUCUCCCUUCUGUUAUGGCGAGCAAACUUCCUUCUUUGUCUGGAAUGUAAUUCUCUUGCUUAUGUUUCUACAAACAAAGCAAAAUGGCCAGCCCUUUGUGGGUAGGCCCUAUUAGUCCUCAGAGAUGGCAGCAUUUGAGGGCCAAUAUUAGAAAAUGCCUAAGAAAAAUAGGAAAAUACCAGGCUUUGUUGUUAAAACUGGACUGUGGCAUUUCUUUUACCUUACUGCUUUAAUACAGAUUUUAAAAGCAAAUCAGCUCUGUGGUGGAACAUGUUUUGGAUUGCCAUACCUGUUUGAGAAGCUGAUGGGAACCACAAAACCAUGGUUGACUAAAUAGGCAUUUUCAGUUCAAAUCAGUAAACUGGGGUCAAUGUGGUUAUAUAUAUAUAUAUAUAUUUGUAUCAAGAAUUACAUAGUAGGGGCUGGGGAUUUAGCUCAGUGGCUUAAGUGCACUUGCCUGGUAAGUGCAAGGGCAUGAGUUUGAUCCCCUGUAUAAAAAAAAAAUUACAAGGCAAGGGUCAUUAUUUUAAAGACUAAUAUCUAAGAGGCAUCAGGAUAUGAAGAUACAAUCUGGUCUUUAAUGACUAGAAGGAUGCUGCUUAUAUUUUAUGUUUUAAAGAUCUGAUAUGCUGGCAAAUCCAUUUAAUAUACUUUGUUUUAAGAAUAUGUAGGGAAUGAUAUCCCUUAUUGUCAGGUACUCUUAAUGACUAUCUGGUAAUUUCCAAAUUUUUAUCUGUGUUAGUAAUUGUAGAGAUAGAAAGCGAACCCUCCUAAAUUGAAGUGCAGUUUAUAGCACCCAGCUAAAAGGCAUCAUGAACCCUAAGGGCCUUCUGUAGAGGGGGCAAUCCUUUGGGUCAUUUCUGGUGUACCAUUGUCUCCUCUACCUCAGUCCAAAACUACAUCCUUUGGACAGUAAAUAAAAAAUACAUAAAACUGCUAUCAGAUGAGUGAAUAGAUUUGAGUCAGCCUCAAACUUCAUCUUCCAUCAAACUCUCUCAUGCCACAUGGCCACUUAUUUCCUUUCAAUAAAAAAAAAUCUGUGUUCUCUCUGGUCAAAGUUUAAAACAAAAUUCCAUCUUUAAGACCUAUCACAAUUUUCCAUCUGUGGUGCUGCUACUCUCUUCAAUCCCUUGCUUUCCCUGAGGAUAGCUACAUUUUAAACCUUAGCUUCAGUUUUGGAAAGAACUACUUUUGCUUGUUAAAUGUUAUGCUAUCAUUGUUUCCUAUUUCCAUCAAAGAUAAGAUAAAACUUAAUUCAGACCCAGAGAAGUGAGGGACAGGUUGCUUCCAGCACUGAGUGAGGGUGAGCAGGGUUGAGCAAUAACAGCAAAGUAAAAUCUGUUCCUUUAGAUCCCUUAGCCUGAGCUGGCAAAAUUUUCCUCUCUUCCUUUGUGUAAUGCCAGACCAUGGUUCUCAAAAUGUGAUUUUGGAUCAGCAGCAAAUUCUCAGACCCCACUUCAGACUUUCUGAAUCAGAAACUCUGGAAGUAGAGCCCAACAACCUGCCUUUUAACUGCCUGUCAGUAUAUUAUAGAAGCUAAAGUUUGAGAACCACUGCUAGGGAAUUCAAACUCCAUUUCAAGCAGUGAUACCUCACCCUCCUCAAAUGAAUGUUCACAGUCCUGUUGUCAUCUUAAGUGCACUAGGCCUGCUCCCCUUAGUUCUAAAGUCUUCCCUCAUCCUUAACUCAGUGAAAGAACUGCAUCCCUUCACAAAUUUCACAAACUGUGGUGAGUUACUACUAAGCUCCAAUGAUUGAUUCAAGCAGGCACUUUGAAUAUGAACAUUCGAAACACUUGGAUCCAGAAAUCUGAAACAACAGAAAGAAAAGGAUAGUCCAAAAGAUAGCUCAAUUUAAACUUUAAAAAUUGCCUGCAAGAAAAUCAUCUUCCUUUAUUAGUUAUCUGGUCCUUUCUCCAGGGCUUGUAAUAAAUUUCCCUAGAGCCAGAUGGGGAGAGCAUUCAGCUGAAAAAUUGACACUAAGUCUUAUUAUGCUGAACCUGUAAGGGCCAAGGUUUUCCAGCCUCAAAGUUGAAUUAGCAACCAAUAAGGGGCAAUGCAAAGAAUUUCUAACCCUGGUUUGGUGUACCCCAUAGGCUAGUACCAGGACCAUCAGAGUGUAUCCAGGGUACAAGUAGGAAAUAAGCUUGUCUAGUGAGAUAUGACACAAGCAAAAUUCAAAUCUGGACUAUUUUUUAGGUAGAGGUAACCAGUUACACUGUGGUUCCCAAAAAAAAAACAAAACAAAAAACCAGUAUUCCUGCCUGAGAACUUCUAUGCAUUUCAGGUUGUAGAAAAGGAUCCAUUGGAUAAGGCAUGGAAGAUGUAUGGCUUCCAGGAGGAGAAAAGGCAAUGCCUCCCGUGAGCCCACCAGCCUACCGGCAUGCAGACUGAAAAUCAACACCCUCCCUCCUAAGCAACACACUGGUUCAGAGGACAGGCUGAGUUGAUAGCAAUUAAGAAACAUAAAGCAACUAAACAUUUUUAUUGUUUGGUUAAUUUUCAGCAUCUCUUGGAAGGAUGACAGUAUGCAAUAUAGUAAAUAUGAGGAAUUUCCUAUCUUAUCUUUGAAAUCCAAUAUUCUCAUUGCUUUGCUUUGUUCUGAUUGUUUUGCUUUAUUCAAUAUUCUGUUUUGAUUGGUUUUAUUCUGUUUUGUUUUUGGUUUGAUUUUGCUAUACCUGAUGGAAUGGACAACUAUUGUGAAGAUAACAAAGUACACUAUGGUCAAAUACAAGACACAAGUCAAAUACAGGAUACAAGAUGGCAUCAGUUAUGCCAAGCUACAACAAUCUGAGAGAUGAAGUAUGACCAUGUCCUCAUCCUUAGCAUGUGCUGCACAGAAGCAUCCACCUUCUCUGCUUUCCUGCCAAGCAUCAAGCCACUGUGACUGUGUGCCCACUUACAGAAGUUUUUGGCCAGGCUCACCUGCCAUGCAACCCAGCUUUCCCUCUGACAAACUGAAUAUUUUAGGAUUAUCCGAUGUUGGCAUUAGUCUGUAUUCAUUUAGACCUGUAUGUUAUGUAUCUCUUGAAUAGAGAAGUUGUGAUGGUUUAUACCCUUGGUUCUCUCCUCUACUUUUACUACCAUUCCCCACUCUUCUCUCCAGGCGAAAGACUGCAACCGUAGCGGAUGGUAGUCAUGGUGGGUAGGUAAGUCCAUAUGUCUCAUGUGAGCUUCCCCCUCAAAAAAAUAUAAGGCUCUGGAAAUGCAAAAUUUGACUCUGUCAUGUAAGACAAAGAAGUUAACAAGAUUUGAUAAAUAGAAAGUACAGAAUGAAGACUGUGAUUCAGAUAAGGAAGAAAACAGUAAUGUAAAUAAAUAUUUGAGUAGUCAGAAUACUACAAAAUGGUCAUGUGUACGUGAAUGAUCCAACCUUAGAACUAGAUCAGAAAAUGUUAACUUUUUGCCAGGAGUUAAACAUUAGACAAAUGGAAACACUGGGAUUCAACAUUGGAAAUUGUAAAGCACCAUAUGCUACAAGAUGUUUUUUAAGUAUACUAGUAAUGAAAUACAAAUAAAAUACUCAAUAUACAUCAAUAGCAAUACUCAAAUAUAUAUUUAGCAUGACUUCUCACUAUCUGAACUAAAAGCAUUCAUAACAAGAAUUUAUCAUUCCAAAAGUUAGAGUCUAAAGAAUUUAUGCAGAAGUGACAGAUGUGGUGUAGCAUGAGAUUUUAGAACAAUAAUCACAUUCAAUAGAUUUAGUUUUCUUCAAAAUUGCCUACAUUUUGAUGACAAAAAGAACCAUCAAGAAACGAAAUCUGACAACGUGGCUGCUAUUUGCCCAUUUUUUAAAGCUUUGUUUUGCAUUGUUAAGUGAUUUAUACACUGUCUGAAUACACGACAAUUGAUGAAUAACUUGCAGCAUUUCAUGUGUGUUGAAGCUUCUAUGAUAUAUGCCAAGUAAAUGUCCCAAAUAUAGUAUAAAAAUGUAUGCCAUGGUAGAUGUUAAGGUGCUUUACAUCUUGUGCCAUGUCCAGCACAGCUCUUGAAACUCUGGAGGGAGGAUGCUGGAGGAUGAAAAAAAAAAAAUGCAGAAAUUUGAGGUCAAGUGGAGCCUCCUCUCCUGGUGGGGAAAAAAUAAUUAUCAAUUACUACAGUGCAUUUAUUCAUACAUUCAGAAGGUAAUUGUCACUUGAAACCCCUCUGCCUAGCAACUUUUUUCCUUGGUUCACCUUGGGUGCCUUGGGUUCUCAGAGCUGGACAGUUGUUCAUGUCUCUCACAUCAGGUGCUCUGUGUUUCAGGGUUGGCUUUGCUUUAGCCUUGCCUAUGUGAUCAAUCUCCAGAUCCAACCACUCCCCCACAUUCCCUGCAUUUCUGUUUUGUAGUUGCAAGCAAUGGGUGGUCAGUUGAAGUUGGAGGAGCUAUGUUUGAAGGAUUCUGCAUAAGAUCUUUUCAUUCUUGAAUGCUUUUCAUUCUGUGAGAACUUAUGUAAGUUUAAGAUUUCCCAUCCAGGGAUUUGGGGACCCUGCAUUCAGCAAUUUAAUCCUGUAUAGUCUCUCUACCCUGGUCCAUGAUUGGUGCUGAUUCAUGCUUUAGAAAAAAAUAAAUUUAAAGUCAAAACCAUUUGUGGACCAUGGGUAGAGAGAACAAGGCCACACGAGGAAGCAAGCCCAGUCUGGAAAACCAGCGCCAUGCACUGGCCGCCACCAGACUAGAAUAGCCAGACCCCAGACUCUCCCUGUGAGUCAGCAGCAUUUGUGGACUGGGGUUAAAGAGAAGGAAGGCCACACUGGGAAGCAAGCCCAAUCUGAGAAUCAGUGCCAUGCGCAGGCUGCCAGCAGACUAGAACAGUCAGACCCCAGCCUCUCCCCAUAAGUCAGCAUCAUUCACAGACCCGGGGUAGAGAGAGGAAGGCCAGGAAGCAAGCCCACUCAGAACCAGCACCAUGCACAGGACACCACCAGACUGGAAUAGCCAGAUCACAGCCUCUCGCUAUGAGUCAAUGCCAUUCAUGGGAUUGAGAGAAGAAGGCCACACCACAAAUCAAGCCCAGUCUGGGAACCAGUGCAACGUGUGGGCUGCCACUGGACUGGAACAGCAGACCCCAGCCUCUUCCAUCAUGCUGGCUAGCAAGUAAGAAGUACCAACCCCUUCCCCAUAAGUUACUGAUCUAUGUGGAGAAACACAGGCUGUGAUUAUAGCUAUGGAGGUGAAAUGCAAUUUGGAUGCCUGUGGUGCCUUAGUGUUUCACUAAUAUUGCAGAUCGAGGGUCAGUGGUCUGAUCAUAGGCUCAGAGGAUAGUGUUGCACAGUGUGACAUCUAGAGGGCAUCUCCUUUUGAGGGUUGCACCCACCGUUGAUUCCCUAUGGUCUUGUUUUGGAAGUCCUAUAUUGUUUCUAUUGUUUUGUUGGGUUGGGUUUUAUUUUUUGCUUUUGUUUGAUUAUGUCAAAUAUGAUGGUGGCAGCAGCAAUUUCAAAGAUAGCAAGAUAUAUUAUGGUAGCAAUUUUGAAUUUACUAUUGGCUUGUUUCUAAGUACUCUAUUGCAUUCAUUGUUUUGUUUUCAUUGUUUCUAUCCUAUUCUGUUCUGUUUCAUUUUUACUAUGUCCAAAGCUAUCUGCAACUAUUUUGAAGACAUCAAAAUGCAUUAUGGGGGCCAGGAUUUUAGCUGAGCAGUACAAGCACCUGCAAGGGCAAGGUCAUGAAUUCAACCCCUGGUGCAAAAAAAAAGUGUGGGGGGGAAUUAUGGUAACUAUUGUUGAUUUUGUAAUGUUUUUAAGUUCUGUAUCUCUUACACUGAUUUGUUUUGAUUGGUUUUAUUGUUAUCCUCUUUAAAAUAAAAUUUAAAAAAAGAAAAGAAAAAACAAAUUUAAAGAACCCAUGCUUUAGCUACUCCUUUCCAAACACUUGGAACCAUAACCUGUUGUCUUAUGAGCUAUAUUAAACCCAAGAUUAAAGGGGCCUGGGGCCAUGGGUAGUGGUCAUGUUUUAAAGUUCCUUUAAGGUUUUAAAGAGUACAGCUUCAUGAAGAUAUGUAACUUAUCCCAGAUUAUUGGGGUCUUGAAGUUUAGCAAUAGGCUAGACAUGUUGAAAACCCUCCAAGGAUUCUUUUGCCUCCUGGUUUCUUUUAGUGCCAAUUGCAAGAGAGAAAGAAAUGAUAAUUCCAUUGUAUUAAGAGUAGCAGUCUCAGCCUGUGAUGCAGCAAAGUUUUUUUGAAUUGAGAAAGCAGAAGUAGCUGCUUGUGGCACAGUUAAGGUUAUUAGUUUUCCUUUGGGCCACUGUGAAAUGGAAGUUGCAGUGAAAUACUCUAGUAGGGAAGGAUGUUCUUUGUCUCUCCCCAUGGCUCCUUCCUUAUCUGUGUUCUUUGUUUUUGGUUUGGUUUGAUUUUUUAACUCAUGACCACACACUUGCAAGGCAGGUGCUUAUGCCGCUGAGCUAAAUCCCCAGCCCCUCCUUCCCUAUCUGUAUGAGCAAAGUUAGAGAGGUCAAGCUUUACUAGGGGAAGUGGGCACCUAUUGCUCCAUUAUCCUUUUUCUGCUUUGGAUAUAGUUUUCAGAUAGUGCUCUGAGCCAAAUUCUCUGUGGUCAUCUCAAAAGACAUAACAAUGAUCAAGACACUCUCUGAUCCAUGUCCACAACAAAGAGGUAAAUACAGGAAUCAACAAACAUUUGAAUUUUCAUCUGUUCUUGAGUCUGUUUGCCCCAUGCUUUAUGUAUGAUGAAAUCAAUAUUGAUAAUAUAACAAUAGACCUCUCUCCUCUA